rnacentral:rRNA from 1 species
AUUGAACGCUGGCGGCAGGCCUAACACAUGCAAGUCGAACGAGUGGCGGACGGGUGAGUAAUGUCUGGGAAACUGCCUGAUGGAGGGGGAUAACUACUGGAAACGGUAGCUAAUACCGCAUACCAUCGGAUGUGCCCAGAUGGGAUUAGCUGGUUGGUGGGGUAAAGGCUCACCAAGGCGACGAUCCCUAGCUGGUCUGAGAGGAUGACCAGCCACACUGGAACUGAGACACGGUCCAGACUCCUACGGGAGGCAGCAGUGGGGAAUAUUGCACAAUGGGCGCAAGCCUGAUGCAGCCAUGCCGCGUGUGUGAAGAAGGUCUUCGGAUUGUAAAGUACUUUCAGUUGGGAGGCGUUACCAACAGAAUAAGCACCGGCUAACUACGUGCCAGCAGCCGCGGUAAUAC